GUCCACGCCCUAAACGAUGACGACUAGUUGUUGGGGGAGUUAAAUCCCUCAGUAACGCAGCUAACGCGUGAAGUCGUCCGCCUGGGGAGUACGGUCGCAAGAUUAAAACUCAAAGGAAUUGACGGGGGCCCGCACAAGCGGUGGAUGAUGUGGUUUAAUUCGACGCAACGCGAAAACCUUACCUACCCUUGACAUGUGAGGAACCCUGCAGAGAUGCAGGGGUGCCCGAAAGGGAACCUCAACACAGGUGCUGCAUGGCUGUCGU
rnacentral:rRNA from 1 species